rnacentral:lncRNA from 1 species
UUUAUAUAUUUGAUAUAUACAUAUACUAUAUAAAUAUAUUUUUUUGUUUCUGUAACACUAUGAACGCAUACAGAUGACCAAUGAAGAUGUCCACCGUUAUUGGAGUAAAAUAGAAUGCAGGCAAUGAGAUCUGUUGCAAAGACAUAUCCCUGACAAGUGGCAUCAGUGCAGGUCUUGUACUCUUUGAAUAAACAUAUAUCUACUACUUGAUUCUAAUUGGCUCUAACAUUUUUAUUUCUACCUCCUAUGGUUUUGAGCAUUUUAUUAUAAUCGUAUUUCUUCUUUAAGAUAUUUUAUUUAGUCAUAUUUACUUUACUAAUACACAGGUAUUAUGUUAUAUUGUUAAUUUCAUACUAACUUAUUUAGUGUUUAUAAUAUGACCAGUACUAUACUAUAUAAUAUUAACUUCAAGCAAUAAAUCAUGCUAUUCAAGGUUCAUAUUGUGUUAAUGUUUCUCCUGCUUUUUCUGUUGCAAUUUUUAUUCUUUCAUAUUUCUUUUAGAUUUGUCCAUUAUCAUAGCAUACAGAUGGAGGUGUGCUUUUAUAUUUGCUAUAGUAUAGUCAUUUAUAUAUUUAUAUAUUUAUAUAAACAAAAUAUAUGCCAACAACAUUUACCUCUUCCUCUCUUUUUCCCCUCUCUUUCUCUUCUCUCUUAUCUCUUAUUUAUUAUUUCCUAACUUAAAUUUAGUCUUCCUCUGAAUAUUGAUAUUUUUAAAUUUUUAUUUCAUGACUCAAUAUACAAUCUAUUCUAAGAUUCAUCUCUCCCAUACUGACCUGACUUUAGAUUCAUCUCUCCCAUACUGACCUGACUUUAGAUUCAUCUCUCCCAUACUGACCUGACUUUAGAGUCAUCUCUCCCAUACUGACCUGACUUUAGAUUCAUCUCUCCCAUACUGACCUGACUUUAGAUUCAUCUCUCCCAUACUGACCUGACUUUAGAUUCAUCUCUCCCAUACUGACCUGACUUUAGAUUCAUCUCUCCCAUACUGACCUGACUUUAGAUUCAUCUCUCCCAUACUGACCUGACUUUAGAUUCAUCUCUCCCAUACUGACCUGACUUUAGAUUCAUCUCUCCCAUACUGACCUGACUUGGUUGUCUGUAUACAAUCAUAGUGUUGAAGUAGCAAAGAUUUAUAAAUAAAAACUAUAAGGUUUGAAUAUGAAAAUGAUUGAACUAUUUUUUGUUAUUUUUUGUUGCAUGUUAUACAUAAGUGUUAAAAAGGUUAGACUUUAUUUUUCAUUUCAUUUGAGAUUUUAAUAAAGUAUCAAAUUGAUAAGAAAAAAAAUUUUAAACAGAAUGUUUGCUGUUCCUCAUAGGCAUGUCAUAUAUACUUACCCAGUUAUCUAAUCGUUAAAACAUUUUAUACUUUAGUAGUUUUGUUUAGAAGGAAAUAAAACUUUCUGGUUGUCAUGGUGUUUUCUUUCUAAACCUUUUUAAAUCUGCAAUGGCAUCCAGGAAUAUUAGUGGUGUUCUUGUCGGAUGGUUUGUAAUAGCCGGUUUUGGUGGAGCAGCUAUUGUUUUUGCGAAGAAAAGAAUUGAUAAAAACAGACUGAAACUUAUGAAAGAAAAAAGAAAUAUGAUGAAGCAAAAUAGUUCCGAAUGAAACUUGCUUUUUACUAGUAGAAAUUAUAUAUAUUUAAUGUCAAUAAAAAUAACGAGAAAGUAA